rnacentral:rRNA from 1 species
UACGGGGGGAGCAAGCGUUGUUCGGAUUUACUGGGCGUAAAGGGCGCGUAGGCGGCCUGUGCAAGUCAGUUGUGAAAUCUCCGAGCUUAACUCGGAACGGUCAACUGAUACUGCUCGGCUAGAGUGCGGAAGGGGCAACUGGAAUUCUUGGUGUAGCGGUGAAAUGCGUAGAUAUCGGGAGGAACACCAGUGGCGAAGGCGGCACUCUGGGCCGGUACUGACGCUGAGGAGCGAAAGCGUGGGGAGCGAACAGG